rnacentral:rRNA from 1 species
AUUGAACGCUGGCGGCAGGCCUAACACAUGCAAGUCGAACGAGUGGCGGACGGGUGCGUAAUGUCUGGGCACUUGCCCGAUGGAGGGGUAUAACUACGGUAAACGGUAGCUAAUACUGCCUACCAUCUUUUGUGCCCAUAGGGGAUUAGCUAGUAGUGGGGGUAAUGGCUCACCUAGGCCACGAUCCCUAGCUGUUCUGCGAGGAUGACCGGCCACACUGGAACUGAGACACGGUCCAGACUCCUACGGGAGGCAGCAGUGGGGAAUAUUGCACAAUGGGCGCAAGCCUGAUGCAGCCAUGCCGCGUGUAUGAAGAAGGCCUUCGGGUUGUAAAGUACUUUCAGCGGGGAGGCGUUACUCGCAGAAGAAGCACCGGCUAACUCCGUGCCAGCAGCCGCGGUAAUUC